ACUCAAAGGAAUAGACGGGGGCCCGCACAAGCGGUGGAGCAUGUGGUUUAAUUCGACGCAACGCGAAGAACCUUACCGGGGUUUGACAUGCACGGGACAGGUGUGGAAACACACCCUCUCUUCGGAGUCCGUGCACAGGUGCUGCAUGGCUGUCGUCAGCUCGUGUCGUGAGAUGUUGGGUUAAGUCCCGCAACGAGCGCAACCCUUGUCACUAGUUGCCAGCGAGUAAAGUCGGGCACUCUAGUGAGACUGCCGGUGGUAAGCCGGAGGAAGGUGGGGAUGACGUCAAGUCCUCAUGGCCCUUACAUCCCGGGCUACACACGUGCUACAAUGGGCGAUACAAAGGGUUCCGAUGCCGCGAGGUGGAGGCAAUCCCAGAAAGUCGCUCUCAGUUCGGAUUGCAGUCUGCAACUCGACUGCAUGAAGGUGGAAUCGCUAGUAAUCGCGAAUCAGCAGGUCGCGGUGAAUACGUUCCCGGGCCUUGUACACACCGCCCGU
rnacentral:rRNA from 1 species